GGCGGUCGCGCGCUACGGCUGAGUGCGGCGCGGGGCGGCAGAGCGGGGCGACGCUGGGCCUCUCUUCUCCUCCCCUCUCUCCGGCGAGGUAGCGGCGCACAGGGCCCGCGGCAGUUGGGGACCGUUGCCCCCCUCUCUCCUUCGGUCCCCUCCGAGCCGCACCAUGGGGAUUCAGGGGCUGCUGCAGUUCAUCAAGGAGGCGGCGGAGCCCGCCCACGUGAAGAAGUACCGCGGACAGGCGGUGGCCGUGGACGCGUAUUGCUGGCUGCACAAAGGCUCCUACGCCUGCGCCGAGAAGCUGGCCAGGGGAGAGCCGACGGACCACUACGUAGCUUUCUGCAUGAAACUUGUUGACAUGCUCCUCUCGUUUGGAAUUAAACCAAUUUUGGUAUUUGAUGGAUGCACCUUACCUUCUAAAAAGGAAGUGGAGAAGGCCCGGCGAGAAAAGCGUCAAGCCAAUCUACUGAAAGGAAAGCAGUUGUUUCGGGAAGGGAAAUUUUCAGAAGCAAGGGACUGUUUUGCUCGCAGUGUAAAUGUUACGCAUGCUAUGGCUCACGAAGUCAUUAAAGCUGCACGAGCUCGGGGAGUUGAUUGUGUUGUUGCUCCCUAUGAAGCUGAUGCUCAGUUGGCUUACCUUAAUAAGACUGGCGUGGUUCAGGCCAUAAUUACAGAAGAUUCUGAUCUUUUAGCUUUUGGAUGUAAAAAGGUGUUUUUGAAAAUUGACAAAUUUGGAAAUGGACUGGAGAUAGAUCAAACUCGGCUAGGAAACUGCAAGCAGCUCGGAAAUAUAUUCACAGAAGAGAAGUUCCGUUACAUGUGUAUUCUGUCUGGUUGUGACUACCUCUCAUCAAUUCAUGGAAUUGGGUUAGCUAAAGCAUGCAAGUUACUAAAAUUAGCUAACAAUCCAGAUAUUAUAAAGGUUAUUAAGAAAAUGGGACACUACUUGAAGAUGAAUAUAACUGUAUCAGAAGAAUACAUACAGGGUUUCACACGAGCCAAUAAUACAUUUCUAUAUCAGUUGGUUUUUGAUCCCAUCAAGAGAAAAUUAGUUCCUCUGAAUGAUUAUGCUGAUGAUAUUGAUCCAGAAACACUAAUUUAUGCAGGACGACACUUUGGAGAUAGUACUGCUUUUCAAAUUGCCCUUGGGAACAUUGAUAUUGAUACGAUGGAACAAAUUGAUAACUAUAACCCUGAUACUGCACAGCCUAUGCAGCAAAGAAGUCAUGGCUGGAAUGACAAACAUGCUAAUCGUGUAAAUAGCAUUUGGAGCAAAGACUACAAGCUUGGCCCUAGUACGGAUGAUGUUCCUCAUACAACUCACUUACCAGAGAAAUCAACAACCAAAGGCAUUGAGAAGAUAAUUGGUAUCAAAGGGUUAAAACUUCCAGGCAAAGAGCUCUUCGCAAAAAGGCAAAGAAGUGAUUUGGAAGAACUCUCAGAUGGAGAUCUGUUGAAUCAAUAUUCAUUUUCAAAAGCAAAAAAAUUCAAGGAGAGUGGUGAAGAUGGUCAAUCACAAAAGAGCACUUCUGCAAUACAAAGCAUUGAUUCUUCAGGGAAUUCUGUUGUUAAAGAAAGCUCUAACUCUCUGCCCAGAGUUAGAAAUAAAUUUGCUUCCUUUCUGCAAAGGAAAAACAAGCAGACGGAUGCUGUGGUUGUUCCAGGAACAAGAAGCAGGUUUUUCUGCAAUGAUACAGAUAUGCUUGGUUUUAAAGCAAAGGAUGACAGUGAUAUAAUUCAAGAUGUUGAGGAGGAUUGCAAGCAAGAGGAGGUAAAACAUGUAGCUGAAGAUGAUUCUCCACUUUUAGAAACUGAAAAAGCAAAGACUGUCACAUUCUUUCCUGGAGAAAGACAGAAAAGUUGCUUCCAGUGGCUUAGCAUCCUUGGAAAUCAUUCAGGAAAUCCUGGUCCGUCUCAUACUGUAUUUUCACAGCAGUUUCACCAGCAGAGAAACAACUGCAUGGCAUCCCAGGCAGAUGACACUAACGGGGUACAAGCAGAGAGUGGAGCUAUGUGUGGUGAAUCAGAUGGAGAGUCCUCUCCCUUAAUAGAACCGCAGUGUUCCUCCCAGUCUCAAAAGUCUUUUGAGCCACCAGAUUGCAGUUUGGGGUCUUCAAAAAUACUACAGGUAUCUAACAACAAUUCAGACACAAAAGAAUCUGACUCAAAUUCAAAACUGUUUGAUAAACAAUGUACUCAGGGGUCUCCAGUAUUUUCUGCUGUUCACGCUGACAGAAAGAAUAUGGUAGCAAAGAUCAAGGUUCCUGGUUUACACAAAUCCAGUUCUGUGGGGUCACGUAUUGUGACAAAACUCAAGCCAUUCAUACCAGCUAAAGUAAGUGGAUUAAGUAAGAAACUGUCACCUGUGCAAAAGAGAAAUCACUGUGAUGCUGAAAAUAAGUUGGGACUACAAGCCACCAUUGGUGAACUCUGGAGAAACUUCCAGUUUAAAAGAGACUAUGAAAAGCUCCCUUCUUGUAAAAAGUCAGACCCGCUGUCUCCAAUCAAAGAUAAUAUUCAGCUCACUCCAGAAACAGAAGAAGAAAUCUUCAAUCACCUUGAACGUACUCAUGUUCAGAGAGCUAUAUUCCAAUGAACUGUACACUGUGCACAAUGGAAUGCAUUUUUAUCACUGUCAAAAUUUCUUUGAGACCUCAUCAAUAUAGAAAAGAUACUUUGAAAAUUAGCUGUACGUUUUAGUCUGAUUUACUGAUUUCUCAUCUUGUUUUAUAAAAAGUGAGUUGAAAGGUACAGUUUUAUACUGACUGAAAUAAAACCUUCAGAUCUCUGUUCUCUUGUUCAAAAUUUAAUACUGUUUUGUCCAAACCACUUUCAGCUGAUCCUGAGCAUUUUUUGUAGGUCACGCAGCCAUGAUAGAACUUCGUACAACAGCUAUGGCUUCACUUUUGCAGAAAACAGCAGAAUACGUUUAUGUCUUAAUUUUUAAGACCAUUUUAAAAUUGUCUUGCUUCUUACUUCUUCCCUUUUGAGCCUAACUGGUCUCCAGGACAGGAAUAAAACUGCUCUUCAGUAUUCAGUCAUCACUAUACACAGAUAAGGAUGUUUCUUUCACUAAAUGCCUCUUCAAACAGAAUCAGAGGAAAUAAAGGAGGCAUUACACGUACACAUUUUGACACAACUUUGUCACAAGUAUGUGCCCCAUUUUGUUUUUUUUUUCUUAUGCACCCUUCUCUGGAAAAUAUAAAAAUAUAAUGACUUAGGAGACACAGGACAUGUAACAACUUGCUGGAGAGUUAUUUCAGUGGUAGGUAUGGUGGGAAUCAUUGAUGCAAGAGUACUUUCCUGUGUUUUAUGUUCUUAGACAGACAGUCUUAAGAAGUCUACUUUGUGUUUAACUUCUGUUUUGUGCUUCGGAAGUCUUGGGUUUUGACGUAUUAUAGGGGAGUCGUCUUCAGAAAGGAGCUCUAUAAUAUAAUAGAUGCUUCUACUUUUCACGUAAGCAUAUAAUAAAAUAACAUGUAAGGGUUAUAGUUAAGCAUGGAAUUCUUUGGCUGUAUAUUUUCUUCCUUUAUGAAAGAUGCACAGUAACAUAUAAGUAAGCUAGUUUCUGCAAAACUCUUCCCAAGUUCAAACUGACUCUAGGCAAGGCAAUAUUUCAUAGUAAUAAACAAAUGAAUAAAUUUCAGAAUGGCAGAAAUUGUUACAGGUGACAAUGGGACAGGAGGAGGAGGGAGGUAAAAUGGGUCCUAAUGAAAAGACAAAAGAAAGCUUGGGGGGGAGAGAGAGAGAGAGGGUGAGUUUGGCUUAAAAAGCAGGUGUUAAAAAGCUGGAGGAUAUGAGGAUAGAAGAAAAGAAUAGGGAUAAGUGAGAGCAGAUAGCACUCUGAGAUGUGUUUGUGCUGGUAGAAUUUUAUAAGUUUGCUUUAAUUUGACAUUUGUUACGUAUUUAAUUCUCCAUAAACUCUAUCAGCAGGACUUCAAAAUAUUCUUAAAAAGUGGAUGGCAUCGCUAUAUCCUGUGAAAAGAGUGAAUCUCAUCUGUAAAAUGGUGGCCUAAUCAAGCUUCACUUCUGAAAGUGCUGACUAGCCACUCCUUCAGCCAAAAGAUAUCUCAGAUCUGAGAGCAGAGCUUGGUCCUGGUGGAAUGACUGCAACUUCAGCUUUUAACACAGGGAGAACUGCUUGUUUUAAACUGGAAUGUAAAGAACAGAGGACAUUUCUAGUCUUCUUCAGAGAAGCACCAGUCAAGACCUGAUCUUUAUAAGGACAGUUUAUCUGUGGUCCUAGUCACAGAAUAUGAAGCUGGACUUUCCUGUUCAGAGUGCUCCUAGGUAUCACCAGAAGUGUCAGGUAGAUGGUGUUACCCCCAUCACAAUUGUAUUUUACCUAAUGCAUUAUAUUUUACUAUAUGCUCUUAUCUCCUUGAGGAUGCAAGUCUUCUGGAGCAUUUAUUGUCUUGACAGAAUAUACUAACUGCAGCAUGUACAGUUGUACAGAGAGAGAGAGUUUACAACAAUGCAGAAGUCUGUCUUUUACAGAGGGAGUUUUCAGUGAGCAGGCGUCAAAGCGAAACGGUCAGCAGUAUUGUCCUUGUUUCUAAAAAAUUGAGAAAAAUAAAGGAUUGAAGGUGGGAGGAUUAGCCACUUUUCUGCUAACCUGUAAUAGAGUCAAAAAUAGCAAUUGUGCCUCAAAUCCCAAUCUUACGCUGUAACUAGUAGACAACACUCCUGAAAGCACCUUGACAACUAUCAGCAGUGAAACCUGGCUAAGGCACAAUUAUGCAACCUCUCUACAGUGAGUCACAGUAGUAGUCAGAAAGGAAUGGUAUAAACAUAAAAGGCCCCAAAGAAUACUGUAACACAACUAUAAAGAAAACAAAGUUGACUUCUGAAGGGAUGUAAUAUAAUGUAUUUUCAUAUAUGCAAUAACCUA